rnacentral:lncRNA from 1 species
CUCAGGACGUUUUUACAUCAUCCCUUUCCCACAAACAAACAUUGGUUUGUGCCUGUUGGAUUUCUAAAUGGAAACAUUGGGUUGAAGUUGUCACAGGUGCUUUUUGUGCUUCACCCCUCCCUGACAGGUGAGAGCCAAAGUAUCUCCAGCUGUGGGGAUCUUUUCCUUGGAUUCUCAAGCAUUUCCAGCUAAAUUUGACAUCUAAGAUAGUUUCAAGUUCCCUUCACACUCUUAUCUUUUCCCUUUUAUCUGUUCCAGUUCUCCUGAAUUCCACUUCUGUGCCUUUUCUAGAUUUCCCUCUUGUCCUGGAUUGCUUUCCAUCUCUUUCUGACACACAGAGCUCCAGUAAGAGGUUGGUAAACUCUUUAAACUGCUCAAAGAAAUUACCACUUUUCCCCGCUUUCCAUCAUCUCUUAAUUCUUUACCUUCUGAGCAGUGUAGAAUUUUCUCCUCCAGCUGUCAGGCUGUGUGUAAUUAAUGCUGUCUUCCCUUUCUCCCAGCUCCCACAUCCCUUCCUUCCCAUCUCCCCCUGGCUCUGUUUCCUUUGCCAGUUUGAAGGGACCGAUUGUUCUAAGAGGCAAAAAAAAGUUCAAACUGUUUUUCAUGUGACAGCAGCAACAUCAGCCGAAGUUCUGCUGGAGAAGUGCUGCAGAAUUUCCUGGGAAUGGACUGCAACUCUUCCAUUCCAGUCCCCCCUGGGAGCCAGGAAGGUGUCCAUGGCAUGGGCUGGGAUUGAGGGGACAGCCUGCAGCUGCUGGGCAGGGCUGUGUGAGGCUGUGGGUGUUCCUGGGCUGCUGGAGCCCUGCCAAGAGGCACCAAAUGACACCAGCCCCAAGGCUCCUGACACUGCUUCACCUUCAAAUUGCAGCUUUGCUCCCCCUUUGAGGUGUUUGUUCCCCCCAGGCUGGGAGAGAUGCGGGCUCCAGGAGGGAUGAACACACCUGGCACAGUGAGGAGCUGCUGUGAUGGGCAAUCACACAUCAGGCGUUUCCUGAGCACAUCCUGCUGCUGGGAUUUGAUUCCCUGACACAUUCGUGGUUUAUCUGUUUGUUUGGAGAGGUGCCAGACAAAAGAGACACAGAAAUUUAAAUAAAUGCAGGUUAUCUAGAAGACA